UCCCUGUUACCAGGGCAGUCUAGCUAGAGAAAUUCAACUAACUAUAAGGGUUGCGCUCGUUGCGGGACUUAACCCAACAUCUCACGACACGAGCUGACGACGGCCAUGCAACACCUGUCAUUUGGCUCCCUAAGGCACACUCUGCUUUCGCAGUGCUUCCAAAGAUGUCAAGCCUGGGUAAGGUUCUUCGCUUACCAUCGAAUUAAACAACACGCUCCACCGCUUGUGCGGGUCCCCGUCAAUUCAUUUAUGUUUUAGCCUUGCGGCCGUACUCCACAGGCGGGAUGCUUAACGCGUUAGCUUCGCUACGAAUCGGGUCGAUACGAUUCACAGCUAGCAUCCAUCGUUUACGGCGUGGACUAC
rnacentral:misc_RNA from 1 species